UGAGGAAUAUUGGUCAAUGGGUGCAAGCCUGAACCAGCCAUCCCGCGUGAAGGACGACUGCCCUAUGGGUUGUAAACUUCUUUUGUAUAGGGAUAAACCUACCCUCGUGAGGGUAGCUGAAGGUACUAUACGAAUAAGCACCGGCUAACUCCGUGCCAGCAGCCGCGGUAAUACGGAGGGUGCAAGCGUUAUCCGGAUUUAUUGGGUUUAAAGGGUCCGUAGGCGGACUUACAAGUCAGUGGUGAAAGCCUGUCGCUUAACGAUAGAACUGCCAUUGAUACUGUAAGUCUUGAGUAUAUUUGAGGUAGCUGGAAUAAGUAGUGUAGCGGUGAAAUGCAUAGAUAUUACUUAGAACACCAAUUGCGAAGGCAGGUUACCAAGAUAUAACUGACGCUGAGGGACGAAAGCGUGGGGAGCGAACA
rnacentral:rRNA from 1 species